CGCCUUGCCAGCCCGCUCAGAACUUAAAGGAAUUGACGGGGGCCCGCACAAGCGGUGGAGUAUGUGGUUUAAUUCGAUGCAACGCGAAGAACCUUACCUGGUCUUGACAUCCCGGAGACCCUUAGGAAACUAGGGGGUGCUUCCAUCUGGAAGAAUCUGGAGACAGGUGCUGCAUGGCUGUCGUCAGCUCGUGUCGUGAGAUGUUGGGUUAAGUCCCGCAACGAGCGCAACCCUUGCCUUUAGUUGCCAGCAGUUCGGCUGGGCACUCUAAAGGGACUGCCGGUGUUAAACCGGAGGAAGGUGGGGAUGACGUCAAGUCCUCAUGGCCUUUAUGACCAGGGCUACACACGUACUACAAUGGCCGAUACAAAGGGCAGCGACACUGCGAGGUGAAGCCAAUCCCGUAAAAUCGGUCUCAGUCCGGAUUGGAGUCUGCAACUCGACUCCAUGAAGUUGGAAUCGCUAGUAAUCGUGGAUCAGCAUGCCACGGUGAAUACGUUCCCGGGCCUU
rnacentral:rRNA from 1 species